rnacentral:rRNA from 1 species
CCCUUAGAUGUUCUGGGCCGCACGCGCGCUACACUGAUCGGUGCAACAAGCAUCCGUCCUUGACCGACAGGCCCGGGCAAUCUUUGAACGCCGGUCGUGAUGGGGAUAGACCUUUGCAAUUUUUGGUCUUCAACGAGGAAUUCCUAGUAAACGCAAGUCAUCAACUUGCAUUGAUUACGUCCCUGCCCUUUGUACACACCGCCCGUCGCACCUACCGAUUGAAUGGUCCGGUGAAACCUCCGGAUUGGCGCGUGCCCUCGGGCGCCGCCGAGAAGUUGGUUAAACCUUACCAUUUAGAGGAAGGUGAAGUCGUAACA